UAAACAUUAAAUUAAAUUAAAACCAUAUAAAUAAGCAACAACUUCAUGCUUAGGUAGGUUGUAACUUCAGCUUUGGGUGUUUCCCAAAAAAAAAAUUACAUCUACUAGGUUCUCCACCACAAAACCCUCUUUCUUUAAAAAUAUCAUAUACCCUGUGUCUCUGAGCAUUCUUUCAUCUUCCCUACCAUAAAAAACAUUCUUUUAGAAGAAAUAUCACAUCUGUGAUGUCUUCUUCGUCUCACCCAGCCACAAGUACAUGCACAAUCGACUUCAUCACUCUCAUUGAGUACAAGUCCAAGAUCAUCGUCGACAACCCAUCUCCGGCUGGCCUCCCUAAUCCGACAAUUAUGACCGGCACCGAUUCAUACCAACAGUUGACACUAAGUUAUGGAUCCUUUUUCUCGCCGUGGUCGUCGUCCACUGCUUCCGCCCAGGUUUGGUGGGAUUGAAAAAGUCCCAACAUGCUUGAAUCGUGAACUAACCGAAAGGAAGCAUGAAAUUAUACCUCUUGACAGGUGACAUACGGAACUUCACUAAUGUGUUGUUGCGAUUAAACAUUUUGUAACGGGAAACUUACCUUGCCCUAUUUUACUUUAAGGGUUAUUUUUUUUGUCUCUGUGUUUCGGCUUUGAUAGGCAUGGGAGAAUUAACAUGCCUGAUGCAUUCUUUAUCCGACAAUCAUGUAAGUUUUGAUAAAUUAAGGGUUUUUGUUAUUCAGUACCAAAUGUUCGAUGAAUUGAGUUUGUUUGAAGCAUGUUUUAUUGUAAUGUUCGUGGUUUUGGAUUGGUUGAGUACGGUUUGGGGUGUUGUUUGGAUCGUAUUUUAUAGGGGAAACAAUGUACAUGCUCUUGGGGAUUCAGCCGACCCAUGGGGGUAAGGACAGGUGCUUUUUUUAGGGAAUCGGAAUUAGUGAAAGAAGGAAUUGGAAUUAGUUCCACUAGAAAAUUAUGAGGUCUUUGGUUUAUAUAUUGUUCAAGGAAUUUGGUGAAAGCAUUAAGGAGUUUAUUAAUGAAGAAAUUGGUGAUGGCAUCUAUACUUUUUUCCCUGCUUUGUGGACAAAGUAAAAGGUCUAGACUGGAGGAUCAUGUACAUGGUGAAAAUCUAAUCCUAACUAGCAAGAGUUUGCAGAAGUUAAGAUCCAUGUAUAGUUUCGUCGAUUGCCUGUGUUGUUCAUAGUUUCAUAACGGCAUUAAUACUACACUUGUCUAAGACGCGUUUGUAGAUCUCAAACAAAUCACUCAUUUCUGUUUCUUCACAUUACCAGAUGCUACUGCCCCUCUUUUUUCAACUAAAAUUAACACCAAAACUUUGCCAACAACUCUUUUUCAAGGUACCUUUUCCUUCAAUUUAUUUGUCUCCACUGGAAAACAACAUAUAUCUACUUGAUUAUUCAAGGGUCAUGUUGUGACCACUUACUCUUGAAGCUUUGUUCAUUACUUUGGAGUACAAAGUGAUUAUAUGUGAUAUAUUGGACUAAUGUAUUUUUAAAAGAAAUGGUAGUCCUGAUAGUUAUAAA